AGAAAUCACACACCUUGGCCAAAAUCAGUUUAUUUCCCAACAUCGGAAGCAAAAGAAACUUAUCAACAGCAAAUAUUUUUGAAGAUUUCAUCAAACCCAAAAGCUUAAAAUGAAAAACCUUAUCGCAACUGCAUUUUUUAUAAUCGUUGUCAUCGCUUUCUCGUCGGGUGAAAGUCAACCAGAUGCUUCGCCACAGUUGGAAUUACAACCAGAACUAAAAACAGAGCAAAAAAAUACCCUUGCUUCAGCCGAUGCCAAUCCACAAGGAGAUAAGACCGAAACUGAUGCAGAGCGUGCAAAACGAUUCAUUUUUUGUGCAUUAGGCAAAUAAAACGGUGGUUUGUGAUCACAAUAAAAUUAUAUUCAAUUAAUAUGGCGUCAAAAUUUAAAAGGAGCAAAGUGUGGGCAAAUAAAACAAUUCGAUACAUUUUUUCAAUAUAUACAAAAUUAACCUCAAUUAACGUAUAUUCACGCCUUCCAGACUAAUCAUUUGUACAAAGUUACAAAAUAUAAAGCCGCUAUUAAGUUACUAGCCA